ensembl:snoRNA SNORA72 Small nucleolar RNA SNORA72
CUGCGAAUAUUCUCGCUGUUCUGAUUUUUUUAAUAAUCAGGGCGGGCUAAACAUUCGCUAUAUUAAGACCAUGCAUGUGUCCCCAGACCUAGUUCUUUGCCUAGGUCUGGUUUUAUAAAUGCUGGUGAUAUAC